AGUCAGAUAAUGCUGAGGAAUAUAUUUAUAUUUGGAAAAGAUUUUAAAAAUCUUUGGGACAUUUUUUUUUAAAAAAAAAGAUCCUUCUAGAGAAUUACAUAUAUUCCAAAUAGCUGAUAGUCGAGACUUUUCCAAGCGCUAAAGCAUUGCAGAAAUUGUCGUUUUAAAUCAAGAAUUUGACAUCAGAGCCACUGUACCUUUCCCCGAUUGCUGCUAGAUGUAAGUUUUGCAUUUUCCCCCCUUUUUUCUGUGACACACCUACAAGAGAACUCCCACAAAGCGCGGUGUAAAUUGGAGGAGGAUCUACCGGGGUUGGGGGGGGGGGGGGGGGGAGGGGAUGGCCAAAAUUCACGGGAAGUUGCAACUGCGCCGCCGGAGGUAGUGUCUUCUUUGGACGUGUGCUUCAGUCCGUCCUUUGCAGAUGUUAGUGAAAAAUGAAAAGUGUCAUCGGUGCCUUGAUUGUGUCCCCACUGUGGUUUUUGAUCCGGGUGGAUAUGUCGAUCGCCGAAAACAUCGGCAAACCAUUCGUAUUUGACAGCGCCAGAUAUUCUGAACCGCUGAGGAAUCCAUUGCACCGCAACUUUUCAACAUUUAUGCUGGCACACAACCGAACACGUGGAAAUCCAAAAACAAUCAUUGCCGGCGAUGACGUCAAAACACGAUCGAUUAAAACUCGGAGUUUGCCGGAAAGUCAAGUGGCCCAAGAUCGCUUCAAUCCCUCGACGUUCGCUCAUCUGAAACACCUGAAAGCAGCCGCACACAACGCCAUCGCGCAGGCCUUACCCCACGACCCAAGCCCUGAAAACUUCUUUGCCUCCGGUCAGUUCCAAGUGGACGAUUCAAUCGGUGCUGAUUCCGGCAACAUUUACCUCCACGAUCCAUCGGAUAGCCAGUUCGUCAACGUUGGCGCAUCGGGACAGCAGUUCGUCGACAACGGCUUUUCGAGUCAAUCAGACGCGACAUACGCUCAAUUCGACGGUGGAGCCUCGAGCAAUCAGCAAUCAGCUUUAAUCAGCAGUAAUUUUAUCGACGAUCAGUAUGAUUCCCUACAAGAGCCCUCUCAGUUGAACUCCUCGCGGCUCCCAUUGGCCGACGACUACCCCCCUCCCCGUCCCGGUAGCUCCUAUUUGCCCCCACCUCCGGACCCCGCCACCCUUAUACCACACACGGACCAGUACUUUCCCCCUUACAUCCCUCCAUCUACGGACUACGUGCCCCCACCACCAUCCCCUAGCGGAAACGGAUCCGUUCCCCUAAGACAUAUCUGCCCCCAUCCCCCACCUCCAAGCCCGUCGUCGCACCCGCGGGGUAUGCGUAUCCGGUCCCCAUAGCGCUCAACCGGCACCCUCCACUGCUGCUCCUCUAUAUCUGCCACCAAAACCGGUUGCCUACGUUUACAAUCCUCCAAAACAGGAAGGAUACUCAUACAACCCUCCACCCUCGCCCCUCCCGGGACCAGCUUAUCUUUACCUGCCUCCUCUUCAACCGCAGCCACGACCCCCUCCUCCUCCGCCCCCUCCCCUCCUCCCUCCAGCCCCCCCACCCACAUCAGCGGACGAGGAGGAGGAUGAAAGAGAGGCUCAGUACUAUUACUAUGGAGUCGGGCGUCAUUUAUGGUACGUGCCUCUGUAUUUCAGCAUUUAUUUCAUUAUCUACGUGGGCUACUUAAUCCUGAGGUCCAUCGCGAGGCACAAGGUGCAACUUCCGGCCAUGUUGCAUGAAGCGGCCGCGGCUAGUGCACGUUUCGAACAGGACGAGUUUUUAGUGAAAAUAUUUCAGAACUUGUCUGAGGAAAUUUAAGUUUCGUCCGAAUAAAAAAUAAAAAUCAUUGAGUAAAUUUUUUUUUUUUUUUAACCUGAACUAAACGCUUAGUGUGACCCGCAUUUUA
rnacentral:lncRNA from 1 species